GGUCAGAGGGCUAAGGGUGACACACUGCCCAGCGUCCGGGCGUCCGAUUCUCUGCAGCGUGGCUCGACUUUCGGGCGGCUGGCGAGGACGCUAAUCCACAGGUUCCUGAGCCCAACAUCCCUCCCUCCACUGGGAAUCCGCUAUUUCAAACAAAUCUGGGUUCUGCCCGCCGGGUGGCGCAAUGACAGUAGCCACCACGUGACCCUGGUAACUCGAGCACCUAGUUGUGGCCUUCUUGGUGGCGUUCAAUCAGAACAAGGCCCUCAUCGGUGACCGGGGCCUGCUGCCCUGCAGACUGUACCUGAAGAAUGUCCAGCAGUACUUCCAGGGCAGGGCUGGCUGGGAUGCCUGGAGCUCCACUCCAACCGUCCUGUGGCUGUUGGACUGGUCAAACAUGAACUUCAACCUGGACCUUCUUGCUCUGCUGGGGCUGGGCCUCUCCUCUUUUGUCCUGGUGACUGGCUGUGCCAACAUGAUCCUCAUGGCUACCCUCUGGGCCCUCUACAUGUCCCUGGUCAACGUAGGGCAGAUCUGGUAUUCUUUUGGAUGGGAAUCCCAGCUGCUGGAAACAGGAUUCCUGGGGAUCUUUCUGUGCCCUCUCUGGACGCUGUCCCGCCUCCCUAAGCACACCCCCACAUCUGGAGUUGUCCUGUGGGGCUUCCGCUGGCUGAUCUUCAGGAUCAUGCUUGGAGCGGGCCUAAUCAAGAUCCGUGGGGACAAGUGCUGGCUGGACCUGACCUGCAUGGACUUCCACUAUGAGACCCAGCCAGUGCCCAACCCGAUGGCCUACUACCUGCACAGGUCACCCUGGUGGUUCCAUCACUUUGAGACACUCAGCAACCACUUCCUGGAACUUGUUGUGCCUUUCUUCCUGUUCCUCGGCCGCCGGAUGUGCAUUCUUCACGGGGUGCUGCAGAUCCUUUUCCAGGUGAUCCUCAUCAUCAGUGGGAACCUGAGCUUCCUGAAUUGGCUCACCAUUGUGCCCAGCCUUGCCUGUUUUGACGAUGCAGCUCUGGGAUUCCUGUUUCCCUCAGGACCUCGAGGCUUAAAGAACCAAGUCCUAAAGAUGCAAAAGGAAGAAACACAAGGGGUCCAGUCCAAGCCAAGAUACGGCUGCAUGGUACGGCAAGUGGUCAACUUCUCCCUGGGCAUCCUGGUGGCCUGGCUCAGCGUGCCUGUGGUCAUCAACCUGCUAAGCUCCAGGCAGGUCAUGAACACCUCCUUCAACCCACUCAGGAUUGUCAACACCUACGGGGCCUUUGGAAGUAUCACCAAGGAACGGACUGAGGUGAUCCUGCAGGGCACAGCCAGCCCUAAUGCCAGUGCACCCGACGCAGUGUGGGAGGACUAUGAGUUCAAGUGUAAGCCAGGAGACCUCUGGAGGCGGCCAUGCCUUAUCUCUCCAUACCACUACCGCCUGGACUGGCUGAUGUGGUUUGCAGCUUUCCAGACCUAUGAGCAGAACGAGUGGAUCAUCCACCUGGCGGGGAAGCUCCUAGCUGGUGACGCCGAGGCCCUGUCCCUGCUAGCUCUCAACCCGUUCGAGGGCAAGACUCCCCCCAGGUGGAUCCGAGGAGAACAUUACCGUUACCGGUUCAGCCUCCCCAGUGGCCAGCACGCUGCCCAGGGCAAGUGGUGGAUACGCAAGCGAAUUGGUCCCUACUUUCCGCCACUCCACCUUGAGGAUCUGAAAGACUUCUUUAGGACUCGGGAGUGGCCGCUGCUAAAACCCCAUCCAGACACAUCCUGAAAUAAAGACCAGAGACUAACUGCUUUCCUGCCUGUACUUUCUGCUGUGGCCAUGGGUCCCACACAGAGCCCAUCGGUCCUGCCAAGAAGAGAAUUGAAAAAGAUUGUGCUUCGACACAGGCAUCAGCCAGGAGCUGAGCAGAAUCUCUGGACUGACAGAGGACACUCAUGGAGAACCCUACCUCUACCUGCCUGCAAACUCAGGACUCCAAGUCACCAGGCGCUGUCUCCCUGAGGUGCCACGUUGGG